rnacentral:misc_RNA from 1 species
GCUAAUGAGUCCGGCGAUAAUGAUCCUGUCCGUGUCGGUGGCCCCACCAAUCCUCUCUUGGCCGACGGUGGUCUUUCCACUGUUAUAGCUAAGCCAAACGGCGGUUCUGGCGAGUUCCUUUCCUCUUCCUUGGGUCGCUGGCAGAAUAGAGGUUCCAAUCCGGAUCGGGGUUUGAUUUUGGCUUUUAAAACUAUAGCUACCAUGUCUGAUAG